CUCUUCACUUUAAUUUACCUCUUCCUAAUAUAGCAACCAUCGUUAUCAUCUUCAUCAGAUUCAAGCCUUCAUUGUUGUCGUCGAAUAAGAAAGCUAUCCUCAUACCAGCACAUGAACUGUUUCUUCUCCUUUUUCAUUUCACUUUUAUGAAAUAAACCUAGAUUCAGAGCUUUUUCUUCCCCUUCAAAAUCUUUAACCCGAUCUGGAUUAUUUAGAUAAACACAAAAACACAAUCUCUAGGACUCAAACUAGCAGUACAGGGAGAGGGCAGUGCUAUUAUGAUUUCUUAGACUCCCUAAAAUUAAAUCUCAACUGAAAACCCUAGAUUUGGUCAUGACCAUAUUGAAAACUUCGUCUUCUUCUCGUUUGAAUGAUUUUUUAUCUACCGUUUCAUCUUCUUCGUUGUGGAUUCCGCGAAUCAACUUCAGUAAAUAUAGUUAGGGUUUUCAUGUUUCUCUUUUUGAUUUGAAGGUAGAAACUAAUCUCUUUUAAAUUCUUUUUCAAUAUGUUCUGAUGGGUGAUUGAAGCAUGAAUAUCAGUUCUAAUGGGUUUAAGAGAUUGGGUUUUCCUCAAUUUUGAGUCUACAGUUAGGUUACAGGGCUGUGAAGAUGGUGGAGUUGAUCUGGAGUUAUAGGAACAAGAAUUUGUGGUAUAUGAUGAUGAUGUAUGAAGUUGUUUAUGGUCCUGCUUGAUGAUGAUGGGAAAAUGCCAUAGCAUAUUUCCAGUAUUUUAUGAGCAGCCUACAAACAUAAUUGGACUAAUUCUGAGACAAGGUUGUGGUGGUUAUAAGGAUCGGACAGCGAUUGUUUGAUGUUUAUGAAUUCUGCGAAGGUAUUUGUAUUGUUCAUACAGGAUAACAAUAUUGAAUUCUGGAGAAAUUUUUGGCCGAGUACUUAGCUCCUUGUGCUAAGAAGAGGUGGUGCGUUUCUAGUAUGGAAGUGGCCCACAAAUAACUGGAGUUUUUUCUCAGCCACUUUUGACCGUUAUCGGUCUAUGCCUGUAGUAGCUAAUUACGCUCAAGGAAUGAAGAACAUCCAUCUUAGAACUGAUUUCAAGACCAGAACAACUAUUACAGCAGCUGCUACCUUAGCUCCAUGGAUGAUAUCUGGGAUGAAUCAGCAUACGGUGAAUAUUUCCUUGCAGUUUCACCGGUUAGAAAGAUGUUCAUGGGAAGAUGUCUCAAAGCGAUGUUUCAUCCGCCAUCCUUAUCGAAUAUGAUGAGGAAGUUGAUUUUCCGAGUAUCUCCUUGCAAAGGAUUGCAUUAUCAUUUAGUCCACUAACGAAUUGCAGAAACGGAGUUUGAAGCAUGUCUCGAGCAUCGUCCGAAGGAGCCAGCAUGUCUCGACAAGUUGGCAUAAAACAUCUAACAGGUCAAGAGUCAAGACAUAACAAAGACUGGUUUCCGUUUUCAGUUAAAGAUUAUGACCAUGAUCCGCAUCAAUGUACACCCGAACAAUAAACCAGAAAUCAAAUGAAUCCAAUAAAUAUAAAUUACUUUAAGUAGCUAUAAA